rnacentral:rRNA from 1 species
UACAGAGGCCCCAAGCGUUACUGAGAAUCACUGGGUUUAAAGGGUGCGUAGGUGGCGCGUUAAGUCCGUUGUGAAAUCCCUUGGCUCAACCAAGGAACUGCUUCGGAUACUGGCGUGCUUGAGGCUAGUAGAGGUCACUGGAACUGACGGUGGAGCGGUGAAAUGUGUAGAUAUCGUCAGGAACGCCCAAUGGUGAAGACAGGUGACUGGGCUAGUUCUGACACUGAGGCACGAAAGCGUGGGGAGCGAACGGG